CCCCAUUAACUGCCUCUUUGCCCCCAGGUGGAUGUGACAGCCAUGGCGCGGGUCUUCAGCUAUGUGGAUGUGACUGAUUCUGGCUUCAUUGCAGCCGUCCUCUCUAUCGCCUUCAACCCAUUCUUCUGGAACGUGGUAGCAAGAUGGGAGCACAAAACACGGGCACUCAGCCGAGGCUUCGGCUCUCCACACACCGCCUGCUACUGCCUGGGCAUUGUUAUCCUGCUGCUCAACUGCGUGCGCAGCCACUGAUGGAUACCUCAGUUGGAAGAGGAUGGAUAUCCUAUGCUUGUUAAGCAAGUAGGUGUUUCCCAGUUCUGAACUUCAUUAUCAGCCUUGAUGUGUUUCUGAGAAAUAAUCCAGAACGACCUGUGACCAGUGAGGACAAGCUUAGUCAACGGCACAAGACAGACUUCUUUAAUUGCUUUGGUGCGAUGACGACUUUCACAACAAUCAAGUUCUUUCUGCAAGAAGCAAGGAAUUUCCAUCAGCAAGGCCUUUAUCAGCGAAAACACCUCCUGAACUUUUGAACCAUUUAUCUGCACCAUUCAUUACCCAACGGUUUAUGACUGUUUGACAUAGGUUGUGACAACCCUUACAGUCCUCCAAAUUUCUGUUCAGUGUCACUCUCUCCUGCACUAGCCUCCUUGUUGACACCACAUUGACUGCAAAAAGCCACUGGUGCUGCCUUGGAGCUGUUCCAUGCUCCCCUUUGAACGCUUUUGCAAGUUCCCUGGCUCAGAGCAAACACAUGCAGGUGCUUCUGUACACAGGGAGCUUAUGGACUUCCCAUUUUCAGGAUCUGGGGCAUUUGUCUGAGCUAUAAGGCAACACCCACACACAUGUGGAGGACGUUGCAGAUGCAGAGCAGAGCUCUCAGGGAACCCGGUGUUGUGUUGCCUUCGGUCCAAGUGAGCUCGAUGGAGGCUGUGCAAGGGCAGUGCCUUUGGCACCAUGCUCUGUCUGCUCAAGAGAAAGAAUCUACCCUAGGAGGGGUCUUUGACCAGGAAAGGGAUGUACGCCACUCCCCAGUGUUGCUCCUCAGCUUUACGCUCAGUGCUGCAUACUUCCUGGCUCUUGUGUCAAAACAGAGGUGGUGUAAAUGGCACUGACAGAGUGCUUUGUGCAGAAAUGACCACGCUCUGAUGAGAAUUGAGCCUAAAGCAGCCAAAGUCACCUCCAACAUCGUCCAGGAAAAGCCCCAGGUGGCCCAAAGCACUCCCAGGUGCCACUGCCAGGCAGGGGAAUAAGCUGCUGCUAAACAGUGUGACCUAAAUAACUGACAGUGGUGCAAGCGAAAAAGCAAAGUCAUUAUUGGCAAAAGAAGCUGUGAAGAUGAUGACCAGGCUGACAAUUGCUGAUGCUACCGGUAGGACUAUUUCAGCAUUUGUUUUUGUAAUGAACAAGGUCUUUUGUUGCAGUGUGCAUGCGGCACUGUUUGCUGCUGGGCUCCACUGGGUGGGUUCACCCCCGUUGCCUGCUAUUGCCACGAGGAACAAAGCCUCCAGCACGGGGACGUCCCGCACCUCUGCUGCUUCCCGCUGCCUCCUGCCCCUGGCCCAGUUCUGCCCCAAUUGCACUUGCCCAGUUUCCAGGCUGAUUUUUGGGAUCAUUAAAGGAAGCAUCACAGCAGCGACCCAGUUUGCUUGAUGAGGUCUUUGCCCUCCUUUAUAGGGAAGGGAUUACAAAAUAUGGUCACUGUGGGUCCCAUUUUGAGGGAGGCCUGGAGCUCCUCUCUCCAUACGGCACUUCCAGGCUUGCUUCAUGCUUCGUGUGGCUUUUUGGGAUGUACUUAGGCUGCGUGGUAAGCUCUCUGGUAUUGCAGUCACCUCUUAACUAAAUGAACGCCUGCUUCUACAAACUCGGCCAGUGCCUCCAGUACCCACAGCAUAUUUUUCUCACCCUGGUGCCCAACACACCACAGGUUAAAACCACUUCCACCUGCGUGACGUCCACAUCCCCACACUGCAGGGCCAUUUUGGGAGUGUUUUUCCAGUUCAUGUACUUUAUUCCCACGCAGCAGCACCACCUGCGUAGCAACAGAUGAGUGUCUGAACGCGCGCCUCUCUGUUUCGGGAAGGGUGGGCCAAACAGUGCCUGUUGCCUUGGCUCCCUGGUGCAAAGCUGGCCAAUUUGCACAACUGUGGUGGCCACUGGCUGUUUGCAGCCCUCAGGAAUUGGUCAAAUCUGCUGCUUUGGUGGAUUUGGGUUUUACACCCGUGCCACUCACACUGGAAAGCUGGCAGAUACUCAUGGGGAGAUGUUGGAGGAAGCAUCAUCCCCUCCUCAGAACUGGGGGCACUUUCCAGAGCCCCCCCAAACACAGGCACCUUUAAGCCAGCAGCCAGGGGCGUGAUUAAAGUAGGUCACAGCCCUACUAUCUCUGCCCUGUAAGAGAGGAGCUCCUCACCAUGGCAAUCGCUCCGCUCAGCGCACAAAGCGUUUCCAGGUACUGGGACAAAGCAUGGCUCUAAUUGGGGUCCUCUUGGGCGCCGAGCCGGGACACUGCCGUGAGAUGUGGCCAGAAAUAAAGGCUGCAGUGAACGUGAUUCAGAGGCACAUGGCAAAGGGAACGGCUGCAUGACAUGGAAGGAGACAGCCUCUGCCUCUUCCUCCUGUGCCAGGAGGGUGAGCCUCAGAGCUGCCGUGCUCCCCUGCCACCCAGGAGCAGUCAGAGAUGCCAGAAUAAUUGCUGUCUCUGACAGCUCCAUGCUGCUUGUCAUGGCCCGGCAUCAUAAAUGCUUAAAAGGUUUAUUUACCAAUCCUGAAAACUCCAGUGUGCAUCAUGUUUAAUGCAAAUAGAAUGUGUGUUUAGGAAGAUAUAAAGCAUCACUCGAGGGAAAGGCAGUCCAUUAUCUGCAUGCAAACACCUCCCUCUCUAGCUGUAAGCGGAACAGCAGGGGACUAAGUGGGACAUGUUGAUGAGGGCAGCUAGUGCAGCCAUACCAAAAAAAGGGGGAAUGGGAUCAUCUGGAGCAGGGAAGAUGGCUUUGCCAAAGCAAACCUCCAUCACACACUGGUUGCAAAGCUGAUUUGUGGUCAUCUCAUUCGUGUCACCUUUGUUCUUCUUGUACUCCAAAGCCAAGCAGAGUCAUGAGCAUAGGAAAGGGAAGGCUCAAAGAUGCGUAAUGGCACGAUUCCUGAUCACCCUGAGCCAAAAACAGCCUCUGAGCAAUCACUUUGCACACAAAGCCAGGCUGCGCUGAUAGCGGGGAUGCAGGCUUGGGCUUCGUCACAGGGGACACUUGUGUCUCUUAGUAAUAAAUACCAGGGAUGUCAUGAAAAGGGAUGUGAGGCUGCUGCUGCUUCACGAUAAGCCAGGAUGGCACGUUUCCGUCAGCACUGAUUCUAAGCUGAACCAAACUGAAGCUGGUGAGCAGAGGGAGGUGUGCUGGGCACUGCAGCAACUCUCCCAGUUUCUUUCCUGCUCUCUCCCAAGCACGUGAUAUUUAUUCAAUGUUUUGCUGCUUUGCUCCAGUCCAAAGUGAAGAUGAAGCAUCUUGCUGUGGGGCCUAAAAGCUCCCAGAGAGAAGUAAAUCUUACAGGAAAGAGCUCCAAGGAGAACAAAAAAUAUCAUCCAAGUUUCUAAAGCAUAAGGAUGAGGAAUCAUCCCUGGCUUUGCUCGAUGUGUGCCUUCCAUCUGCCUUCUUUGCAAGGUGUGCUUGCAGCCACAUCUCUGGCAGGGCUCUCAGCUUCAAUUGAGGCAGCAAAAAAGACUGAGGGAUUUGCAAGACUCAGAGAGCUGGACGUGAAAAAAAACACAUCCCAAAUGCUGCAGAUAACGUCAGAGCAGUUGGCAGCCCUGCCUGCAGCGUGGCGGAGCAGCCAGGGAAACCACUGGGCUCCUUCCACGUGAAGAUCCAGGAGCACGAGGAGGAAAGGCUGUGCCCAGCAGGCAGCAAUGGCCAGAGGCAGGUGUGCUGUUAUUCCACUUGAAUUUCAGCCUCCAGGGUGCCCAUUUA